AGCCUUUAGCUUCUUUACUAUCGUAGCCAAUGAGGUUAAUCCGAGGCGCGAUUAUUGCUAGUUGAAAACUUUUCCUUCCAUCCAGG
rnacentral:snRNA from 1 species